rnacentral:rRNA from 1 species
AGGGAUCAUUACACAAAUAUGAAGGCGGGCUGGAAUCUCUCGGGGUUACAGCCUUGCUGAAUUAUUCACCCUUGUCUUUUGCGUACUUCUUGUUUCCUUGGUGGGUUCGCCCACCACUAGGACAAACAUAAACCUUUUGUAAUUGCAAUCAGCGUCAGUAACAAAUUAAUAAUUACAACUUUCAACAACGGAUCUCUUGGUUCUGGCAUCGAUGAAGAACGCAGCGAAAUGCGAUAAGUAGUGUGAAUUGCAGAAUUCAGUGAAUCAUCGAAUCUUUGAACGCACAUUGCGCCCUUUGGUAUUCCAAAGGGCAUGCCUGUUCGAGCGUCAUUUGUACCCUCAAGCUUUGCUUGGUGUUGGGCGUCUUGUCUCUAGCUUUGCUGGAGACUCGCCUUAAAGUAAUUGGCAGCCGGCCUACUGGUUUCGGAGCGCAGCACAAGUCGCACUCUCUAUCAGCAAAGGUCUAGCAUCCAUUAAGCCUUUUUUCAACUUUUGACCUCGGAUCAGGUAGGGAUACCCGCUGAACUUAA